rnacentral:rRNA from 1 species
GUGGGGAAUUUUGGACAAUGGGGGCAACCCUGAUCCAGCCAUGCCGCGUGCGGGAAGAAGGCCUUCGGGUUGUAAACCGCUUUUGUCAGGGAAGAAAUCCUUUGGGUUAAUACCUCGGAGGGAUGACGGUACCUGAAGAAUAAGCACCGGCUAACUACGUGCCAGCAGCCGCGGUAAUACGUAGGGUGCGAGCGUUAAUCGGGAUUACUGGGCGUAAAGCGUUCGCAGGCGGUGUUUUAAGAUCGAUGUGAAAUCCCCGGGAUCAACCUGGGAACUGCAUUGGUGACUGCAAGGCUGGAGUGCGGCAGAGGGAGAUGGAAUUCCGCGUGUAGCAGUGAAAUGCGUAGAUAUGCGGAGGAACACCGAUGGCGAAGGCAAUCCCCUGGGCCUGCACUGACGCUCAUGCACGAAAGCGUGGGGAGCAAACAGGAUUAGAAACCCGAGUAGUCC